rnacentral:pre_miRNA from 1 species
AAUAAAUGAAUUUAUGUGUUUUUGGAUAGAAUUUUUGACUCUUCGUCUUAUUUGCAAUUUUUUAUGAUUAAUAUUUUUUUUUACUACGUAAUAAAACAUGAAUAGUACUGAAUAAUUUUUUUAAAUUUUUUAAUAAAUUUUUUAAAUAAAACGGAUGAUCAAACGCUCGACCUAGGGAACACAUAAU